GUACCACUGUAGCUCGGUUGGUUAGAGCGUGGCGCUGAUAACGCCAAGGUUGAAGGUUUGAUCCCUGUAUGGGACA